rnacentral:rRNA from 1 species
UACAGAGGGUGCAAACGUUGUUCGGAAUUACUGGGCGUAAAGCGCGUGCAGGCGGCCUUGCAAGUCGGACGUGAAAUCCCCAGGCUUAACCUGGGAACUGCAUUCGAGACUGCAUUGCUAGAGUAUGGGAGAGGGAAGUGGAAUUUCCGGUGGUAGCGGUGAAAUGCGUAGAUAUCGGAAGGAACAUCAGUGGCGAAAGCGACUUCCUGGACCAAUACUGACGCUGAUGAGCGAAAGCCAGGG